UGCAUCGGUAGCUCAGAUGGUAGAGCACUGCCCGUGAAAGGCAGAGGUCCCGAGUUCGAGUCUCGGUCGGGCAC